rnacentral:rRNA from 1 species
UACAGAGGAUGCAAGCGUUAUCCGGAAUUAUUGGGCGUAAAGCGUCCGCAGGUGGCAGUUCAAGUCUGCUGUCAAAGACCGGGGCUUAACUUCGGAAAGGCAGUGGAAACUGAACAGCUAGAGUAUGGUAGGGGCAGAGGGAAUUCCUGGUGUAGCGGUGAAAUGCGUAGAGAUCAGGAAGAACAUCGGUGGCGAAGGCGCUCUGCUGGACCAUAACUGACACUCAGGGACGAAAGCUAGGGGAGCGAAUGGG